UACAUAUUGAUGCGGAUAGGUGUCUAGCUACGAAAUAUUGGCAGACUUAAUAGGGAAGUCGGUGCGAUUCCGACGCGGUCCCGCCACUGUAACAGGGGAGCUCCAUUUGACCAAAUUUGCCACUGAUCGACGUGAUCGGGAAGGCAGGAUGAAGCGGUGAUCCUAGAGCCAGGAGACCUGCCUAACCGAUGACACGAGG
rnacentral:ncRNA from 1 species